UAUUCACCAAAUGUUGUGCUUAGUCGCUAGGUCGUAUCUGACUCUGAGACCCCCAUUUCCUCCUCCAGGGAAUCUUCAAGACGCAGGGAUUGAACCCACAUCUCCUGCACUGGCAGGCAAAUUCUUUACUGCUGAACUACCUGGGAAACCCCACUAAAUGUUACCCUGUUUUAAUUAUAAGAUGAAGGAUAAGAUGCCUAAUCUAUCUUCUUAAAACAUCUAUAUACCAGUGUUCAGAUCCUGGGUCCCAGAAGGAGAGAGCAGACUGCAGGGAUAUAUUAAUACAACAUAUCUUCCAACGUCUUUUAUGUGCUGUCAGUUUCCUGAACUGAAUCCUGGACAUGCUUGAGGUGAAGACUGUUGUAGAUUGCUUCAAUCCUUGGAUCUCUUCAUUGAACAGACUCCCAGUAACUGGACGUUUGAAGUCAGCCUCUUGCAGUCAGGGAAGAGCUUGGGUCAAACCAAGACCAAACUUCCCUGCCUGGAUAAGCAAAGUUCUAGUAAAUAUCUUCCUUGGUGAAUCGGGCCACUUCUGGUUCCACCUGACCCAGUUAAGGCAGAUGCAUCAUUAACAUUAGUUAAAAUUUUUUAAGAAGGGAGACUGGAGACUUCUUUCUGGAAUCCAGUAGCGAGGUUCUGGUUUGAAAACAGAUACUAGGACUUCCCUGGUGGCCUGUGCCUUCCAGUGCAGGGGAUGUGGGUUCAAUCCUGGGGAGCUAGGAUCCUACCUGCCUUGUGGCUGGAAAAACCCAAAACAUAAAAAACAGAAACUGUAUUGUAACAAAAUCAAUAAAAGACUUUAAAAAUGCUUC
ensembl:lncRNA